rnacentral:rRNA from 1 species
GACAGAGGGUGCAAACGUUGUUCGGAAUCACUGGGCGUAAAGCGCGUGUAGGCGGCAAGGCAAGUCGGAUGUGAAAGCCCGUGGCUCAACCACGGAAGUGCACCCGAAACUGCCUAGCUGGAGUCUCGGAGAGGAAGGUGGAAUGCUUGGUGUAGAGGUGAAAUUCGUAGAUAUCAAGCGGAACACCUGUGGCGAAGGCGACCUUCUGGACGAUGACUGACGCUGAGACGCGAAAGCGUGGGGAGCAAACAGG